CCUACGGGUGGCAGCAGUGAGGAAUAUUGGUCAAUGGGCGCGAGCCUGAACCAGCCAAGUAGCGUGAAGGAUGACUGCCCUACGGGUUGUAAACUGCUUUUAUAAAGGAAUAAAGUGAGGCACGUGGGCCGUUUUGUAUGUACGUUAUGAAUAAGGAUCGGCUAACUCCGUGCCAGCAGCCGCGGUAAUACGGAGGAUCCGAGCGUUAUCCGGAUUGAUUGGGGUUAAAGGGAGCGUAGAGGGGUUGUUAAGUCAGUUGUGAAAGUUUUCGGCUCAACCGUAAAAUUGCAAUUGAUACUGGCAGUCUUGAGUACAGUUGCGGUAGGCGGCAUUCGUGGUGUAGCGGUGUACUGCUUAGCUAUCCCG
rnacentral:rRNA from 1 species